rnacentral:lncRNA from 1 species
GAGUUGAGCAGGGGAGCUGUGGGACAAGUGUGAAAGCCAUUGCUAGUGAGAAAAAGCAAUAGUAGCAAUUAGAUAGUGAAACUGAACAGUGCCCUUUAAUAAAUAAUUCACCUCACUUCCCAAUCGUAUCUACACUGUGCCUCUCCUCCAAACCCACUUACAGACCCUCUUCUGCCCUUGGAGUCAUUAUUGCCCUCAAUUCAAGCGUCUGAAAGCAUGCCUGAUGAAACGCAAUGCUCCGUUCCUGGCUAGCUGCCACUGGCCACACCCUACAAAGAAUCCCAACAGCCCAGUUCAAAGACUUGUCAUUAGAUCCAGUUCGUGGGAAGUUUCCAACUGCCCAGUCGGAGGUCUCUCCACUGGAGGCAUCAUGCUAACCAGAGAUCUGAGGUGUUCCAGACUUUCUUCAGCAUGGCAAUAUUUCCUGUCUUUGACCGAUUUUCCUUGGGCCAAGCUCCUUAGAAGUCUUGGCUUCUCUGCCAAAGAGACCUGGGAUCAUCAGGCAAUAAUCCUCCAAUUUAUUGCCCCUGUUCUACAUUCCUGAUCCAUGACUAUUUGCAGACCUUGGGACCAGCUUCCCAAAACCCAGCAUAAGCUGCUUUAAUUUUAUCAU